GGACGAACGCUGGCGGCGUGCUUAACACAUGCAAGUCGAACGAUGAUCUCCCAGCUUGCUGGGGGGGAUUAGUGGCGAACGGGUGAGUAACACGUGAGUAACCUGCCCUGGACUCUGGGAUAACCCCGAGAAAUCGGAGCUAAUACCGGAUAGGACCCUGUGCCGCAUGGUGUGGGGUGGAAAGUUUUUUCGGUUUGGGAUGGACUCGCGGCCUAUCAGCUUGUUGGUGAGGUAAUGGCUCACCAAGGCGUCGACGGGUAGCCGGCCUGAGAGGGUGACCGGCCACACUGGGACUGAGACACGGCCCAGACUCCUACGGGAGGCAGCAGUGGGGAAUAUUGCACAAUGGGCGCAAGCCUGAUGCAGCAACGCCGCGUGCGGGAUGACGGCCUUCGGGUUGUAAACCGCUUUUAGUAAGGAAGAAGGGGAGCUUGCUCCUUGACGGUACUUGCAGAAAAAGGACCGGCUAACUACGU
rnacentral:rRNA from 1 species